rnacentral:rRNA from 1 species
GAAAGUUGAAAAGCACUUUGAAAAGAGAGUGCAAGAGAACGUGAAACCGACAUAAUGGAAACGGAUGGAGCCGACGUAUCGUGCAUGUAUUCAAUUGCAUCGCAUUGUAAGCUGCGAGUUGUGCAUUCCGCAAGGUUGCCGGCUUGUAGUGUUGCCGUGUGAGUGUAGUGCAUUUGCAUGCAGAGUGCGCCGAGUGGGUUGGCCUUGCUGCUGGAAGCUUGUAUAGAGGAUCAUACUUCGGUACGGAACCCUGUGCUUGUGGAUGGCAGAUGAGGCUGACUUUCACAUGUUGUGAUGCUGGUGAAUUCGUGGCUUUGGUUGGUGGCUUAGUUGGCUUGUAGGUGACGCAUGCGCUGCUUACUUGUCGGUUGGGUCGUCGGCCUUGACUACCCCGCAUUCAACUCGGUGUUCAGUCGGUCACCCAUUUGACCCGUCUUGAAACACGGACCAAGGAGUUUAAGGUGUACGCAAGUCAUUGGGAUCCUGAAACCCAAAGGCGUAAUGAAAGUGAGACACUUGGUGUCUGUGAUGUGAACGGUUUUCGUUUCGACGGUGGCUGUGCAGCAUCGCCCUAUGCUUGGGACUUGUCCUGGCGUGGAGGCUGAGCGUACGCUUUGAGACCCGAAAGAUGGUGAACUAUGCCCGAACAGGAUGAAGCCAGAGGAAACUCUGGUGGAAGUCCGUAAGCGGUUCUGACGUGCAAAUCGAUCGUCUGAUUUGGGUAUCGGGGCGCAAGACUAAUCGAACCAUCUAGUAG